rnacentral:ribozyme from 15 species
AAAAGCAACAUGGUGAAAAGAAAAUUGAGAAAUAUGUUACGGACCAUCCUCAUCAUUUUCCUUUCUCUGUCAUUUCUUGAUUUUUUAUUCUUCAUUGUU